rnacentral:lncRNA from 1 species
CUUCUCGCGCCUCGCUCUGGCCCUGCAGGUUGUGUUUCCGCCUCUACCCCGCCUCCAUUCCGUUGCUCUCUCAGUCUCAGACCCGGGCUCUCGGUCCGCCGCUUCAGGUCUUGGCGCAGCCUCAGAGAGUUGGCGCGGCUCUGUGUUGACCAAACCUAGUGGAUGCAGUUAGCGCCGGAGCCCGGCCCCGCCCGUCACCAGGGUUAUUCCCGCCUUCUAGGUUUGCCAGGACUGCCGGCCCUGCAGCUGCCUUCUGCCCCAGGUUUUUGGCUACUGAUGUUACAAACAAUAAAAUAUUGGAGCAUAGAGUUGAAGAACAGACUCAAACCAGGCUGGAGUGCAGUAAUGCGAUCUUGGCUCAUUGCAACUUCUGCCUCCUGGGUUAAAGGGAUUCUCAUGCCUCAGUCCCCCACGGAACUGGGACUACAGGUUUUUAUUUAAUUAGUUAAAAAUAUGGAUCCUGAGACAAGGGGACAAGAGAUUAUCAAAGUGACACCUCUUCAACAAAUGCUUGCCUCAUGUACUGGAGCUAUACUGACAUCAGUAAUAGAUACCACUCGCUAAUUGAAACUUAACAUAUCUUCAUAGUGACACCCCUGGAUGUUGUUAAAAUUAGACUCCAAGCCCAAAACAACCCACUCCCCAAAGGAAAAUGUUUUGUAUAUAGUAAUGGACUCAUGGAUCAUCUAUGUGUCUGUGAAG